rnacentral:rRNA from 1 species
UACGGGGGAUGCAAGCGUUAUCCGGAAUCAUUGGGCGUAAAGCGCCUGUAGGUUGUUUAUUAAGUCUGUGGUUAAAGACUAGGGCUCAACCCUAGGAAAGCAAUGGAAACUAAUAGACUAGAGUAUGGCAGGGGUAGAGGGAAUUUCUAGUGUAGCGGUGAAAUGCGUAGAUAUUAGGAAGAACACCGGUGGCGAAGGCGCUCUACUGGAUCAUUACUGACACUCAGAGGCGAAAGCUAGGGUAGCAAAAGGGAUUAGAUACCCCUGUAGUCCUAGCCGUAAACGAUGGAUACUAGAUGUUGCAUAUUUUAUGCAGUAUCGCAGCUAACGCGUUAAGUAUCCCGCCUGGGGAGUACGCUCGCAAGGGUG